rnacentral:rRNA from 1 species
AGGGUGCAAGCGUUACUCGGAAUUACUGGGCGUAAAGCGUGCGUAGGUGGUCGUUUAAGUCCGUUGUGAAAGCCCUGGGCUCAACCUGGGAACUGCAGUGGAUACUGGGCGACUAGAAUGUGGUAGAGGGUAGCGGAAUUCCUGGUGUAGCAGUGAAAUGCGUAGAGAUCAGGAGGAACAUCCAUGGCGAAGGCAGCUACCUGGACCAACAUUGACACUGAGGCACGAAAGCGUGGGGAGCAAACAGGAUUAGAUACCCUGGUAGUCCACGCCCUAAACGAUGCGAACUGGAUGUUGGGU